CCUCCUUAUAACGAAGUUACACUUACAGAGUGCUCACACAAAUAAUUAAUUACGAAGUUUUAAGAGAGCUCUAACCCAUGCGCACAGUAUGUGCUCAUCAGUUAGGGUUUUUAACCCGGACGUGUAAACGUCAUGCUCUUUAACAAUUUGGAAAGCUGAUAAAAUAAGGUAAACAUUAUUGUUUAUUUGAUUUGUUAUUCAACAAUUUAAAAAAUAAUUUUGAUUAUCACUGUAAGAGAAAACUCAAGCGUUAUUUAUGUCAAAACGAACAUGCCUAUACAACAUGUCUCGUUAAUAAAUAUGACACAAGAUGAUGCAAUCGAGAAUGUGAGAACAUUUAAGGUUGUAUGGUUAAGUGAAUAAGCGUAUACGGUGG
rnacentral:misc_RNA from 1 species